AACAGGCAAGAUUGUAGUUAGGUUUCUGUUACAUUUGCAGGCAUUCUUUCUUGAUGUCCCAAUAAGUUAUGGCAGCCUUGUUUUCCUGUUUCUAGGCAACCUUUCUUUACAAUUUCAGCUUUUUGAAACAGGACACUCCAGAUUGGAUGACAACCAAAACACUCUGUCAGAUUUUGAAGCAUUUAGCACAAUUCUCCUGACUACUGUUGCUGUCCAAGACAAUGUCCUCACUGCGGUCAAGAAUAGGUCUCUUCAGCCACCUACGGGCCCACCCCCAAGACCCCACAACUGGAAGACCAUCGUCUUCGGCCUACGAGGGAUUGCCUAAGUAAGUAAGUUUGCAGAAGCAGAGUUAUACAAGUAUUGCCACUGUCCUUAACAUGCACAUGACACACAUAAGUUCACAUGUGGAGAUGUAUGUUGUGCAGUCCUGAUGCAGAAACUCUGACUAGAAUCUAAAGGAUUGCAAAAAGAAAACAUUGACCAAUCAGGUAUCCCAUGGAAGGGUCAUCAAAAGCCAAAAAAGUGCCUCCUGCUUGGAUGGAAAGCAAAAUCUAAGUACCACAUCACAAGUAAAGUGGAAGCUGUUUUCAAAGCACUUGGAAGAAAUAAAUCACCAGGAACAGAUGGCAUACCAAUAGAGCUGUUUCAAGUUCAAGGGAUGGAAUCCAUCCAAUUCCUAACAAAAAUCUGUCCAGCAAUAUGGAAAGCAAAACAAUGGACUACAAAUUUGAAAUACUCCAUAUACAUUCCAGUUCCCAAGAAAGGGGACAUCAGGGACUGUAGAGACCAUCAGACCUUUGCAUUAAUCUCCCACACAAGCAAAUGAUGCUCAAGAUUUCACAACAAAGAAUUUGGAACAAGAAAUGACUGACGCCUGAGUUGGAUCCAUAUAAAGUAGAGGGAUAUAAUCAUAUUGCAAACAUACAGUGUCCAGAGUGCGCAAAAUAAUUUCAGGAAAAAUGCUUUAUAGAAUAAAACAAAGAUUUUGACUGCAUAGAUCCUGAAAAACAAUGGAUUGCUCUAAAAAGAGAUGGGAGUGCCACAGCAUUUGAUUGUCUUGAUGUGUAAUCUAUACUCUAGACAAGAGCCAACUGUCAGGAAAGAAUAAGAAGAAAUGGAAUUGUUUCCAGUUGGCAAAGAGUACAAGAGAAGAGUGCAUGUCAUCAUCCAAUCUCUUUUGUUUAUGCACACAAUAUUUUAUACAUAAAGUGGGAUGACUUGAAGGGAAAUGGGCAAGAAAAUGGAAAAAAAGAAAGACCAGUAAUGCAUAUGACAUUGUUUUAUUAGCAAAAAAUAGGAAACAUUUAAAAUGAUGUCUGAUGAAAGUAAAGGAAGAAAAUACAAAAGCAGUGCUACAGCUUUUUUUCUCGUUUCAGGAGCGACUUGAGAAAUUGCAAGUCACUUCUGGUGUGAAUUGGCUGUCUGUAAGGACGGACAUUUCAUAGAAGAUGCCUGGAUGUUUGCUGCUUUACCAUCCUGUGGGAGACUUCUCUCAUGUGCCCGCAUGGGAAGCUGGAGCUGACAGACAGGAGCUCACCCCACUCCCCAUAUUCGAACUGCCAACCUUUUGAUCAGCAGGCCUGUCGGCAAAAGGGUUUAAUCCAUUGCCCCACUGGGGGUCCAGCAUUACAACUGACUAUUAAGAAAACAAAAACCAUGAUCACAAACAACACAUGUAACUUUAAAGCAGAUGUUAAUAAAAAAAUUCAAUAUUU